CCUACGGGAGGCAGCAGUGGGGAAUAUUGCACAAUGGGGGAAACCCUGAUGCAGCGACGCAGCGUGAGUGAAGACGUAUCUCGGUACGUAAAGCUCUAUCAGCAGGGAAGAAAAUGACGGUACCUGACUAAGAUGCCCCGGCUAACUACGUGCCAGCAGCCGCGGUAAUACGGAGGGGGCCAGCGUUAUCCGGAUUUACUGGGUGUAAAGGGAGCGUAGACGGCAUAACAAGUCUGGAGUGAAAUCCCUGGGCUUAACCCCGGAACUGCUUUGGAAACUGUGCGGCUGGAGUGCAGGAAGGGUAAGUGGAAUUCCUAGUGUAGCGGUGAAAUGCGUAGAUAUUAGGAGGAACACCGGUGGCGAAGGCGGCUUACUGGA
rnacentral:rRNA from 1 species